rnacentral:rRNA from 1 species
UUCGCAAUGCCCGAAAGGGUGACGAAGCGACGCCGCGUGUGGGAAGAAGGCCUUCGGGUUGUAAACCACUGUCGGGAGUUAAGAAAUGCAAGAAUGUUAAUAGCGCUUUUGCUUGACUAAGGCUCCGGAGGAAGCCACGGCUAACUCUGUGCCAGCAGCCGCGGUAAUACAGAGGCGGCAAGCGUUGUUCGGAAUUAUUGGGCGUAAAGAGCACGUGGGCGGCCAUAUAAGUCGGUUGUGAAAGCCUUCCGCUCAACGGGAGAACAGCAUCCGAUACUGUAUGGCUUGAGUGUGGGAGGGGAGAGCGGAACUUCUGGUGGAGCGGUGAAAUGCGUAGAUAUCAGAAGGAACGCCGGCGGCGAAAGCGGCUCUCUGGCCCAUAACUGACGCUGAGUGUGCGAAAGCUAGGGGAGCAAACGGGAUUAGAUACCCCGGUAGUCCUAGCCGUAAACGAUGGGCACUAAGUAGAGGGGUUUU